GACGAACGCUGGCGGCGUGCUUAACACAUGCAAGUCGAACGGAAAGGCCCUGCUUUUGUGGGGUGCUCGAGUGGCGAACGGGUGAGUAACAAGUGAGUAACCUGCCCUUGACUUUGGGAUAACUUCAGGAAACUGGGGCUAAUACCGGAUAGGAGCUCCUGCUGCAUGGUGGGGGUUGGAAAGUUUCGGCGGUUGGGGAAGGACUCGCGGCUUAUCAGCUUGUUGGUGGGGUAGUGGCUUACCAAGGCUUUGACGGGUAGCCGGCCUGAGAGGGUGAACGGCCACAUUGGGACUGAGAUACGGCCCAGACUCCUACGGGAGGCAGCAGUGGCGAAUAUUGCACAAUGGGCGGAAGCCUGAUGCAGCAACGCCGCGUGCGGGAUGACGGCCUUCGGGUUGUAAUCCGCUUUCGCCUGUGACGAAGCGUGAGUGACGGUAAUGGGUAAAGAAGCACCGGCUAACUACGUG
rnacentral:rRNA from 1 species